GAUGAACGCUGGCGGCGUGCCUAAUACAUGCAAGUCGAGCGAACAGACGAGGAGCUUGCUCCUCUGACGUUAGCGGCUGACGGGUGAGUAACACGUGGAUAACCUACCUAUAAGACUGGGAUAACUUCGGGAAACCGGUGCUAAUACCGGAUAAUAUAUUGAACCGCAUGGUUCAAUAGUGAAUGACGGUUUUGCUGUCACUUAUAGAUGGAUCCGCGCCGCAUUAGCUAGUUGGUAAGGUAACGGCUUACCAAGGCAACGAUGCGUAGCCGACCUGAGAGGGUGAUCGGCCACACUGGAACUGAGACACGGUCCAGACUCCUACGGGAGGCAGCAGUAGGGAAUCUUCCGCAAUGGGCGAAAGCCUGACGGAGCAACGCCGCGUGAGUGAUGAAGGUCUUCGGAUCGUAAAACUCUGUUAUUAGGGAAGAACAAAUGUGUAAGUAACUAUGCACGUCUUGACGGUACCUAAUCAGAAAGCCACGGCUAACUACGUG
rnacentral:rRNA from 1 species